GGGGAUCUGACGUCUAGGAAGCUGAAACGAUUGACGUUUGAUUUCCUGUCAGGGAUGUUGACGACAGUUGGGUAGGGGCGUCGACGUCUAUAAUGAUGAAAAUAAUUAAUUACAGGCACAUAGACGUCGGCGCCCCUGCUACGCCGACGUCGAAAUUGAAGAUUUUUUGUCGUUAACUGAAGAGCAUUUAAUGCAGCCUUAUAGACAUCGCCCC
rnacentral:lncRNA from 1 species